rnacentral:rRNA from 1 species
AACGAACGCUGGCGGCAUGCCUAACACAUGCAAGUCGAACGAGACCUUCGGGUCUAGUGGCGCACGGGUGCGUAACGCGUGGGAACCUGCCUUUAGGUUCGGAAUAACUCAGAGAAAUUUGAGCUAAUACCGGAUAAUGUCUUCGGACCAAAGAUUUAUCGCCUUCAGAUGGGCCCGCGUUGGAUUAGCUAGUUGGUGGGGUAAAGCCUACCAAGGCGACGAUCCAUAGCUGGUCUGAGAGGAUGAUCAGCCACACUGGGACUGAGACACGGCCCAGACUCCUACGGGAGGCAGCAGUGGGGAAUAUUGGACAAUGGGCGAAAGCCUGAUCCAGCAAUGCCGCGUGAGUGAUG